AAGACUCUACUUUCAGGGAUCAUUUCUUUAGUCUGGAACUAGAGGAUUGUGUUUCUACAGAGGUUGGUCUAGCUGUCCAUGAUGAUGAUGAAGAUGUUUCCUUCAGAGCAGGAAGCUGGUGAGAAGAUGAGAAUCUUCUUCACUGAUGAAGACUGUUCAGUGUUUCUGGAUGUGACACUGAAGGAGGAAACAUUGUCUGAGUGGA
rnacentral:snoRNA from 2 species